UUCAACUCAUCAGCUCAUUAGUAGAGACUGCAAGACCUGAAAUGGGUGUGUCAGAUAUAGGGAGACAUACAAAAUGUGAGGUGCUAGGAGUGCUUGCAGGACUGGUUUGAAAACCACUGUACUACAGUAUUUGAUUGUGCUUCUGUCCUUUCUUAGGGCAUAACCUUUGGUUGAUGAGGGAACAAACUAGAUUUAUAUUAUUCACCAAGCAUGGGCCAUUCUGAUACUGCUCCUGUACCGGUGGUUGUGUUUGUGUAUGGAGGUGCCUGGGGAUCAGGAGACCGCUCCAUUUACUGUCUGUUAGCCUUACAAAUAGCAAAAGAGCUUAAUGCCUCUGUACUUUGUCCAGAUUAUUCCAUAUAUCCAAAGGGAAAUGUUUUAAAUAUGGUUCAAGACAUCAGUGACAGUUUGCUGUGGGUGAGAGAAAAGGGACAAACAUUCAGUCUUGAUCAAGACAACAUAAUAUUAAUAGGUCAUUCAGCAGGGGCUCAUCUGUGUGCCCUUUCCACACUGUUUCUGGUGAACAAUGCAGAAGAGCUGUUCAUUGAGACCAACAUACAGAGAGAUCUUGUAUCUGCCAUUAAAGGAAUCAUAGAGUUCCUCCAGUGGCUUUGCUCCAUGGAACCAAUGACAUCAUAGUUCCGGUGGAAUCAUCAGUGAAGUUCUCUGAGCUCCUCACAGCCCUUUCUAUCAGGAUGUCUCUCGAUCUAAUACCUAAAAUGAACCACACAGAGAUGGUCACUGACCUUAUGGCUCCAGACAGGCACUUUUACCAUACAGUUUAUGGCUGUAUUAAACAGGAGUACAGUAAAUUUCAAGGUUAUGCUGAUUAAUAAUUUUCAUUCAAUUAAUUACUAAUAUCAUUUUCCAUUAUGCCAGUCACUCAUUAUGUUAUUUAUGUAUUUACUGUAAGUUUACAUUCAAGUUCUAAUGAUUUCUUCUGAAAUGUUUAAUUUUCAAUCUAAAAUGUGUUCAAUAACCC
rnacentral:lncRNA from 1 species